rnacentral:rRNA from 1 species
AUUGAACGCUGGCGGCAGGCCUAACACAUGCAAGUCGAGCGGAUGAAGGGAGCUUGCUCCUGGAUUCAGCGGCGGACGGGUGAGUAAUGCCUAGGAAUCUGCCUGGUCUUGGGGGAUAACGUCCGGAAACGGGCGCUAAUACCGCAUCCGUCCUGAGGUAGAAAGUGGGGGAUCUUCGGACCUCACGCUAUCAGAUGAGCCUAGGUCGGAUUAGCUAGUUGGUGGGGUAAAGGCCUACCAAGGCGACGAUCCGUAACUGGUCUGAGAGGAUGAUCAGUCACACUGGAACUGAGACACGGUCCAGACUCCUAGGGGAGGCAGCAGUGGGGAAUAUUGGACAAUGGGCGAAAGCCUGAUCCAGCCAUGCCGCGGGUGUGAAGAAGGUCUUCGGAUUGUAAAGCACUUUAAGUUGGGAGGAAGGGCAGUAAGUUAAUACCUUGCUGUUUUGACGGUACCAACAGAAUAAGCACCGGCUAACUUCGUG